UCCUCACUUUGACGAACUGUUCUGGAGCCUCUGGUUAACCCAACUGAGCACGGUGAGAUUGAGGUGCGACGGAGGUCACGACGGCGGCCUCGACGAUUGAGCGCGCGGCAGCACCCUUGGCGGAGCUCGCAUGGCGCCCUCAGCGGAGCUCGCGCGACGGCCUCGACGGAGCUCGCGCGGCGGCCUCGACGGAGCUCGUGGCGGCGGGCUUGGCGAUUGAGCUCGCGGCAGCGACCUCGGCGAUUGAGCUUGCAACCGCGUCAAGUUGACUCUGGAUUGAGCUUGUCAGAGGCCAAAUCGUGGUGCCCUCGCCGCCUGGACGCGGGAAGGGGAAUCGCUGCUGGUCCGGGUUAGUAAGAAGAGGGCAAGGGCCGCACUAGGAGAGAUGGUGACUUCAGGAGAAGCAUCCUGCGUGAAGGCCUGCUCGCCAUCAACCAGAAAGUAGAGAUGCGAGCUUGAUGCAAGCUCCUAUGACAAAGGGCCUGUCUCUUCAACGUUGGAGGUCUCAUGAUCUGCACAAACGGAAAGAUUGAAGCUACUGCAGCAUACCUGUUUUGGAAGCGUGAGGAGCUUCUUCCAUGUUGAAGAAGAACACUCUCCUGGAUUCUGAUCCACGGAAAGGAACUUUCUUGUGAAGGUGUUCUCGAUUUUUUUUAUCUACAGGAAUGCAACUUCCAGCGAGAUUGGUACGAGAAAGGGGAUCACGCGGGAAAGGAUCUCGGGGAGGGAACUGUUAGGCGGGAGGAUAACGAUUUGUUAGCUGAUUUUCUGGAGAUUAACUGUAUUUGGAGAGAUACGCUGGUUAUUUGAGGUGUGGGGCCUGCCAAGACAUGUGACGCCGCCGUCCCGCCCCGCCCCGACGCGGCGACCUGUGCCCCCGUCCCGACGCGGCGACCUGUGCCCCCGCCCCGACACGGCGACCUCUGCCCGCCCCGGCUCCAGCCUCCCGACGUCGUCGACUGGCGCCAUGGCUGCUGUACAGGCCAGCCUCCCCCAGACGAUUCCGGUGUUCCCCGCCUCCCUCUCCCGCCCCAGGUCCCCUAGGACUCCCGUCACCGGCGACCUAUGUGCUCGUCGGAACCUUGUACAAAGGUACAAAUCAUGUAUAACCUGCAAUUUCCAUUGCAACUGACUGACUAUUUAGAUGAGUUAGGCAUAUUGGUCAGUAACACUGCAGAUUGUAUUUUCACUUGACAUUGUAUAUUGGUUCACCAAAAUAGAUUCAGACAAUGCAUAUUGGUUCAGGAAAAUAGCUGGCCCAAAAUAGAUUCAGAGUAACUCCGCCACUCGACACUAUCAAAAUAUGUCAUCUCCAAUUGAAGGUCCAAAGCUAGGCAUGUUGAGUAAUUGAGUAUAAUUUGUAAUGCUUUCAUAUCCAUGCGAGUCUUCUUGUAAAGUUCGCUCCGCUGGUUCAUUUCCUUUUGUCUUAGGCUCCUUUUUGCCACGCUUUUCCCCCUGCUAUAUGUGACAAUUAAUUUAGACAGUGGAUUAAAUUACAUUUGAAUCAUAUAAUGUGUGAUUGAUAUACCUUAGAUAAUGAUGCAGUACUUGUAGUCGGUCCUAUCUUUUUUCCUUUGUGCUGCCUUUCAGUCCAACUUACCCUUCUUUUAGAACCUUUGUCUUGCUUAUUAACCUCUUUUUUCUUUAGACGUGCAUCAGCCAACGAAUCAUUUUGUGCUUCUGGUGUAGUCACUUGAGCAUUCAAUAGAUUGUUUGAUGCUGUAGUAGUCACUUGAGAAUUCAACAAUAGCCCUUUCACUUCCUUGCUAAGGUUAUCAAGUGUAUUUUCAAUCAAAGUACAACAUUCUUCAGAAUUGGAUGCUUCGGUCACCAAGUCACAAAAUUUGUGAGAUAGGAAAUUUGUGCGGUGAACAGCGUCUAACUUUGGAUCAGCAACUACAAUCCUUCCAUGACUAUCUUGAACUACCCCUGCUCGUGCUUCUCUAGUCCACCGCUUCAAAAUAUAGUGUUCCGGAAGUAACUUAACAUUCAUCAAAUCAAGGACUUUCAAAGCAUGUGCACACAAUACUCCUAGUCUCUCAAACUGACCACAAUCACAUGAUGCUAUUUGUUCCAAACGGUUUCCUUUAACUUUCCAUUCUUCUUGAAAUCUUGGUUGCUCAAAAGGAUAACCAGUUUUCACCAUGUAUUCAGUUGGUUCAUCUAGUGCUUCGGCACAUGCUGCCAAAGAUCUUUUGUAUUCCUUCUGAAAAAACUCAAAUAUAACAGGGGUAUAGAGCUUGCUGACUUGCACCAACAUUGGAGUUUCCAUUCUGAUUUUUGGUCUUGCAGGCUGCCGAUUGGAGAUGUUUUCUCUCUCAAAUUCUGACCGCUUCUUGAAGCAAAUCAGAACAUAUCCCGUCUUCUUUCAGGGUCACCUGCUGCUUCUCCCCUGCCGAAGAAAUCCGUCCAUCUUUCGGUGGCGCUCCAUCAAGCAUGAGGUUGGGUGGAGGGCGCAGCGGAGAAGCUUUGGUGCUCUGGAGGUGUGGUCGACGAGGAAGAGACGGCGGAGGGCGAGCUCCUGUUGAAGACGAAAACGGGAACAUGGCUACGAGGCCGGAAUGGGAAUGGGAGUGGUGCAACCUUGCUGCCCUGCUCUAGUAAUAGACCUCCGCUGGUGCGACCUUGCUCAAGCCCUUCAUUGGCGAGUGGAGCAGCGGCGUGGCCGUAGGAGAGAGUUCUGCACGUGCGGAGCAUUGCGACCCCCACGGGAGCCCUUUGAUAACGAGCAGGGUUAGGUGGGGCGACCCCUGCGGGAGCCCUAUGACGGCAAGCGGAGCGGCGGAUGGCGGGGAGGAUGAAGAUUUGAAUUUGGAUUCUGAUUUUUCAGGCCUGAUUUGGAAGGUUUUGAAUUUGUGGACUUUUUUGCAAAUUUUUAGUUGUACUGUGCUCGCGACACUUAAUUGUGGUCGGAAAUUAAAAUUGUACUUAUUUAUUUCCUUAUAUUGGAAUUAAGUUGUACGUAAGAACA